UUUGACGUUAGCUGCAGAAGAAGCACCGGCUAACUCCGUGCCAGCAGCCGCGGUAAUACGGAGGGUGCGAGCGUUAAUCGGAAUUACUGGGCGUAAAGCGCAUGCAGGUGGUUUGUUAAGUCAGAUGUGAAAGCCCGGGGCUCAACCUCGGAAUAGCAUUUGAAACUGGCAGACUAGAGUACUGUAGAGGGGGGUAGAAUUUCAGGUGUAGCGGUGAAAUGCGUAGAGAUCUGAAGGAAUACCGGUGGCGAAGGCGGCCCCCUGGACAGAUACUGACACUCAGAUGCGAAAGCGUGGGGAGCAAACAGGAUUAGAUACCCUGGUAGUCCACGCCGUAAACGAUGUCUACUUGGAGGUUGUGGCCUUGAGCCGUGGCUUUCGGAGCUAACGCGUUAAGUAGACCGCCUGGGGAGUACGGUCGCAAGAUUAAAACUCAAAUGAAUUGACGGGGGCCCGCACAAGCGGUGGAGCAUGUGGUUUAAUUCGAUGCAACGCGAAGAACCUUACCUACUCUUGACAUCCAUAGAACUUUCCAGAGAUGGAUUGGUGCCUUCGGGAACUAUGAGACAGGUGCUGCAUGGCUGUCGUCAGCUCGUGUUGUGAAAUGUUGGGUUAAGUCCCGCAACGAGCGCAACCCUUAUCCUUGUUUGCCAGCGAGUAAUGUCGGGAACUCCAGGGAGACUGCCGGUGAUAAACCGGAGGAAGGUGGGGACGACGUCAAGUCAUCAUGGCCCUUACGAGUAGGGCUACACACGUGCUACAAUGGCGCAUACAGAGGGCGGCCAACUUGCGAAAGUGAGCGAAUCCCAAAAAGUGCGUCGUAGUCCGGAUUGGAGUCUGCAACUCGACUCCAUGAAGUCGGAAUCGCUAGUAAUCGUAGAUCAGAAUGCUACGGUGAAUACGUUCCCGGGCCUUGUACACACCGCCCGUCACACCAUGGGAGUGGGCUGCAAAAGAAGUGGGUAGUUUAACCUUCGGGGGGACGCUCACCACUUUGUGGUUCAUGACUGGGGUGAAGUCGUAACAAGGUAGCGCUAGGGGAACCUGGCGCUGGAUCACCUCCUUAUACGAUGAU
rnacentral:rRNA from 1 species